rnacentral:rRNA from 1 species
CGUCUAUAUACGUAUAGCAUAUCAAUAAGCGGAGGAAAAGAAACUAACUAGGAUUCCCUCAGUAACGGCGAGUGAAGCGGGAAGAGCUCAAAUUUGAAAUCUUCAAGGUUCUACCUUGACGAAUUGUAGUUUAAAGAAGUGUUUUCUGUUGGAGUUUUGGUAAAAGUUCUUUGGAAUAGGACAUCAUAGAGGGUGAGAAUCCCGUAUUUGACCAUUAUUUUCAACUUUGUGAUACACUUUCAAAGAGUCGGAUUGUUUGGGAAUGCAGGUCCAAAAUGGGUGGUAAAUUUCAUCUAAAGCUAAAUAUUGGCGAGAGACCGAUAGCGAACAAGUACCGUGAGGGAAAGAUGAAAAGAACUUUGAAAAGAGAGUUAAACAGUACGUGAAAUUGUCAAAAGGGAAGCGUUUGACACCAGUGUUGUUUUCUCGAAAAUCAAUUAAAAAUGGCGGGAUUUUGUGUUGUAUUGACUCUUAUAAGCUUUCUGCACUUUUUUCAUGUCUUUUUUAAUGCACUUUUCGUUUAACAAGUCAACAUCAAUUUCUUUUGUUGUAAAAGGGUCAUUGGAAGGUGGCUUUCUUUUCGGAGAAAGUGUUUAUAGCCUUUGACUUCUGCAAUCGGAGAGAUUGAGGUCUGCAGCGUAGAUCCUUCGGGGUUAGAUGCAUUUGUGCUAAGUUAUAGCCUUUCAUAGACAACUUGUUGACUAUGAUCAGUCAUGUAGCUUACUCGCUUAUGUUAUUUUACCUACGCUUAGGAUGUUGACGAUCAGCUGAGCGCG